GCUGUACACAUCCAUACACAACAGACACACAUUAUAAUAUGGUGCUGUACACAUCCAUACACAACAGACACACAUUAUAAUAUGGUGCUGUACACAUCCAUACACAACAGACACAUUCUAAUAUGGUACUGUACACAUCCAUACACAACAGACACACAUUCUAAUAUGGUACUGUACACAUCCAUCCACAACAGACACAUUCUAAUAUGUUACUGUACACAUCCAUACACAACAGACACAUUCUAAUAUGGUACUGUACAGAUCCAUACACAACAGACACAAUCUAAUAUGUUACUGUACAGAUCCAUACACAACAGACACAUUCUAAUAUUGUACUGUACACAUCCAUACACAACAGACACAUUGUAAUAUGUUACUGUACACACCCAUACACAACAGACACAUUCUAAUAUGAUUCUGUACACAUCAAUACACAAAAGACACAUUCUAAUAUGGUACUGUACACAUCCAUACACAACAGACACACAUUCUAAUAUGGUACUGUACCCAUCCAUACACAAAAGACACAUUCUAAUAUGGUACUGUACACAUCCAUACAAAACAGACACAUUCUAAUAUGGUACUGUACACAUCCAUACACAACAGACACAUUCUAAUAUGGUACUGUACACAUCCAUACACAACAGACACAUUCUAAUAUGUUGCUGUACACAUCCAUACACAACGAGACACAUUAUAAUAUGUUACUGUACACAUCCACACACAACAGACACAUUCUAAUAUGUUACUGUACAGAUCCACACACAACAGACACAUUCUAAUAUGUUACUGUAAACAUCCAUACACAACAGACACAUUCUAAUAUGUUACUGUACACAUCAAUACACAACAGACACAUUCUAAUAUGUUACUGUACACAUCCAUACACAACAGACACAUUCUAAUAUGGUACUGUACACAUCCAUACACAACAGACACAUUCUAAUAUGGUACUGUAAA
rnacentral:lncRNA from 1 species